rnacentral:rRNA from 1 species
GAUGAACGCUGGCGGCGUGCCUAAUACAUGCAAGUCGAACGCAUAGCGAAAGGUGCUUGCACCUUUCAAGUGAGUGGUGAACGGGUGAGUAACACGUGGACAACCUGCCUCAAGGCUGGGGAUAACAUUUGGAAACAGAUGCUAAUACCGAAUAAAACUUAGUGUCGCAUGACACAAAGUUAAAAGGCGCUUCGGCGUCACCUAGAGAUGGAUCCGCGGUGCAUUAGUUAGUUGGUGGGGUAAAGGCCUACCAAGACAAUGAUGCAUAGCCGAGUUGAGAGACUGAUCGGCCACAUUGGGACUGAGACACGGCCCAAACUCCUACGGGAGGCUGCAGUAGGGAAUCUUCCACAAUGGGCGAAAGCCUGAUGGAGCAACGCCGCGUGUGUGAUGAAGGCUUUCGGGUCGUAAAGCACUGUUGUAUGGGAAGAACAGCUAGAAUAGGAAAUGAUUUUAGUUUGACGGUACCAUACCAGAAAGGGACGGCUAAAUACGUG